AGCCCUGAGGUGUAUUACCAUGUAAGAUUGCAAAUCUUAAGAAGCAAACUAAUUAUUUGCCGGGGCUU
rnacentral:tRNA from 1 species